UACGGGGGGAGCAAGCGUUGUUCGGAUUUACUGGGCGUAAAGAGCGCGCAGGCGGUCGUUCAAGUCGCGUGUGAAAGCCCCCGGCUCAACUGGGGAGGGUCACGCGAUACUGAUCGACUCGAAGGCAGGAGAGGGUAGUGGAAUUCCCGGUGUAGUGGUGAAAUGCGUAGAGAUCGGGAGGAACACCAGCGGCGAAGGCGGCAAACUGGAUAGGCACUGACACUCAACAACGAAAGCGUGGGGAGCAAACAGGAUAGAAACCC
rnacentral:rRNA from 1 species